CCCUUAGAUGUUCUGGGCCGCACGCGUGCUACACUGAGUGGAUCAGCGGGUCAGGUUGCGCGAAAGCGUUUCCUAAUCUUUAAAUCCGGUCGUGAUGGGGAUUGACGGUUGCAAUUUUCUGUCAUGAACGAGGAAUACCUUGUAAGCGCGGGUCAUCAUCCCGCGCUGAAUACGUCCCUGCCCUUUGUACACACCGCCCGUCGCUCCUACCGAUUGAGUGGUCCGGUGAGGCUUUGGGAUCUGAGCGGAAAGAGCGUUUCGCUGUUUCUGCUCGGAAAACUCAGUCGAACCUUAUCAUUUAGAGGAAGGAGAAGUCGUAACA
rnacentral:rRNA from 1 species